rnacentral:rRNA from 1 species
AGGGAAUAGAUACCCUGGUAGUCCACGCUGUAAACGAUGAGUGCUGGACGUUGGCGGGUUUACCUGCCGGUGUCGCAGCUAAACGCGUUAAGCACUCCGCCUGGGGAGUACGGCCGCAAGGUUAAAACUCAAAGGAAUUGACGGGGGCCCGCACAAGCGGUGGAGCAUGUGGUUUAAUUCGACGCAACGCGCAGAACCUUACCAGCCCUUGACAUGGGCGGACGGGGUCCAGGGAUGGACUCUUUCUCGCAAGAGACCGCUACACAGGUGCUGCAUGGCUGUCGUCAGCCCGUGUCGUGAGAUGUUGGGUUAAGUCCCGCAACGAGCGCAACCCUCGUCUCCAGUUGCCAUCGGGUAGAGCCGGGCACUUUGGAGAAACUGCCGGUGACAAGCCGGAGGAAGGUGGGGAUGACGUCAAGUCCUCAUGGCCCUUACGGGCUGGGCUACACACGUGCUACAAUGGCGGUGACAGAGGGCAGCGAAGGGGUCGACCUGGAGCUAAUCCUCAAAAGCCGUCUCAGUUCGGAUUGCACUCUGC